AUGGGGCGGAAGUUUGGAGUCUUGUAUGAUCCUGAUGAUCUACAGAGGGUGAAAUGCAGGUUGUGUGGAAAGGAGAUCAGUAUUAGGAUAAGCAGAUUGAAGCAACAUGUUGGUCAAGUGAAACGUCAAGUAAAAAGUUGCAUGGUGGUGAAGCAGCACAAGGUUGUGGAGGAGCAACUCCACCUUGCUGCUACAAAGUGUACAGCACUAGAGUUGAAGGAACUACUUCAACGUGUUGCGCUAGAUAUCAUUCUAGAGGCGAAUGUAGGCCAAUAUGGCAGCAGGAGUUCAAUCCAGAACUCCUAG
rnacentral:rRNA from 1 species